rnacentral:rRNA from 1 species
UACGGAGGGGGGCUAGCGUUGUUCGGAAUUACUGGGCGUAAAGCGCACGUAGGCGGCUUUGUAAGUUAGAGGUGAAAGCCCGGGGCUCAACUCCGGAAUUGCCUUUAAGACUGCAUCGCUAGAAUUGUGGAGAGGUAAGUGGAAUUCCGAGUGUAGAGGUGAAAUUCGUAGAUAUUCGGAAGAACACCAGUGGCGAAGGCGACUUACUGGACACAUAUUGACGCUGAGGUGCGAAAGCGUGGGGGAGC